rnacentral:rRNA from 1 species
CGGGUGAGUAACACGUGGAUAACCUACCUAUAAGACUGGGAUAACUUCGGGAAACCGGAGCUAAUACCGGAUAAUAUAUUGAACCGCAUGGUUCAAUAGUGAAAGACGGUUUUGCUGUCACUUAUAGAUGGAUCCGCGCCGCAUUAGCUAGUUGGUAAGGUAACGGCUUACCAAGGCAGCGAUGCGUAGCCGACCUGAGAGGGUGAUCGGCCACACUGGAACUGAGACACGGUCCAGACUCCUACGGGAGGCAGCAGCU